GCGCAUUCCUAAUUGAACCACAAUAUUAUUCUAUAUGCAAUUCACCAGUUUCAGACACAGGUUGCCAUUAGUUGUUUUCAUACACAGAUUCAUAUAGAACUCACCUGGAAAUACAUAUCACCUUAUCAGGAAGAUUAGAAAAUUUAGCAUGAGAAAUUCUAUUCUUGCCAUUAAAUUACAAUUCUGGUUAGGCAAACCGUUGCUGGAAAUCACAUUUCAAAAAAUCCUCAAGCAACCAAAUUAGCUUUACAUGACAUAUGAGGCAGACAACACUUAUUCUUUACCCAUCAAGAGAUGAAAUAACUACAAUUCUAUUUCCAACUUCAAACAUUUUAACCUCUAUUCGUUUCCAAAGAAAAAGAUAAAACAGAAAAGGCAGUACCUUCACUGAGAUCAGCAAGAAAA
rnacentral:misc_RNA from 1 species